rnacentral:rRNA from 1 species
UACGGAGGGGGCAAGCGUUGUUUGGAAUUAUUGGGCGUAAAGCGUAUGUAGGCGGCCGAGUAAGUCAGGUGUGUAAGCCCGUGGCUCAACCACGGAAUUGCAUUUGAAACUGCUUGGCUUGAGUACAGGAGAGGAAAGCGGAAUUCCCAGUGUAGCGGUGAAAUGCAUUGAUAUUGGGAAGAACAUCUGUGGCGAAGGCGGCUUACUGGACCAAUACUGACGCUGAGGUACGAAAGCGUGGGGAGCGAACAGG